CUCUGCUGCCCAAGUGCUGGAAUUAAAAAGGUGCACCAUCAUGCCCAGUCGCAGGACCUCGGAUCUCAGUCCUGUAGCUAUUCUUGGGUGAUUAUUUUUUUAUUUGUUUCUUUUAUGUUCUUGCCUAAACCUUCUAGUAUUUGUAUCCUUUAUUCUAACGACUCUUCCUGGUAAAGGUGGAACAUCCUUUCCUCAGUCUUCAGAGGCCUGAGAUUAGCCAUUUGGGGCCUGGUGACUUAGAGAAGCAGGUCUGUAUUUGGAGGGGAGUUGUGACCGGAGAAACUGUGGUGGCAGAGCAGGGGCCAUGCUAUGCUACUGAUCGGCAUCCAAGAGCCCUGGUGCUCACUGUUCAUUACUGAGCGCGGGCGCUGACCCUGGCCACCACUCACAGCACUGAAAUCACUGGCUGUGAGAGCCAAGUCCAAGGAGAAUUGAAUUUGGGAUGGUUUCAAGGGUAGAGCAUGCCAGCCCUGUCUCAUUCUGCCGUGUAGUGAAUGUUUUCAUCCAAGUGCGAGCAGCACUCCCUCUCCACCUCUCUUGCGCCCCCUCCGCCCUUUCCAAAUGUCCUUCCAGCUGCUAUUUUCGAUUUUGGCCUCCAGGCAAAUGCUUCACUGUAGCAAAAUUACUGUAAAAUUCCUUCCUGUGCGCCUACAGAUAAUGGAGCUCUGACGCUACAGAACCCAGAAUCAUUCCCAAGAGAAACCCUAGACUCAUACUGCUUCAAAAAUGGCCCAACGGCAAUCCCCCAAAGACGGAGGGAACCCAGCCCAGCAGGGUGAACAAAGGUGGCCACGCCCAUGACUGGUUCUGUUGCAGCUGCCUAGUCUGACAAUUCACGGCCUUCUGGUCCUUGAAGCAAGAUCUUCAUGAAAGUGAGAGCACAGCCCUACAAUGUUCAAGCAUCCGACCAAACAGAGAAGACUCUCUGAAUGACACAGCUAUCCAGUGGGAUCCAGGUAGCCACACCUUGCCAGUCAUGGUAGCUAUAGACUUAUUAACAUAUACCCACUGAUCAUAUUCCAACUUUUCCUCAAAGCUCCAUUUCUGGCAGAGGGAGGCAACCCAAGUACCCCCACUCCACUGGUACUCCAAUGUGGACUUCCUUGAAUAUAAACAAUGUUUUACAUGACUUA